AUUGAACGCUGGCGGCAGGCCUAACACAUGCAAGUAGCGCGGAGCGGCGGCCGGGUGAGUAAUGCCUAGGAAUCUGCCUGGUAGUGGGGGAUACCGUCAGGAAAGGGGCGAUAAUACAGCAUACUAUCAGAUGAGCCUAGGUCGGAUUAGCUAGUUGGUGGGGUAACGGCCUACCAAGGCGCCGCUCCGUAACUGGUCUGAGAGGAUGAUCAGUCAGACUGGAACUUAGACACGGUCCAGACUCUUACGGGAGGCAGCAGUGGGGAAUAUUGGACAAUGGGCGAAAGCCUGAGCCAGCCAUGCCGCGUGUGUGAAGAAGGUCUUCGGAUUGUAAAGCACUUUAAGUUGGGAGGCGUUACCAACAGAAUAAGCACCGGCUAACUUCGUGCCAGCAGCCGCGGUAAUAC
rnacentral:rRNA from 1 species